GCGCUGCCUACAAAGGAGCACCCACCGGGGGAGCCUUGGUAGCGACUACCCACAGCCGCCACACACCUCCUCCGCUUUGCGCCCGCUCUCUCUCUAGACUUCAAGUUGUCAGGCGCCAGAAGGGCUCCGAAAAACGCAAAACAGCAGCCUCUGUGAGCACCCCCAGCAGUAUGAUCUCAGUGCCCAGCUUCUCCCUUGCACCCCAGGGAGGGAGAGAAGAGAGAGCCCUGAGAAUGGUGGAAGUCCUUUCUGAGCGCAGCUUUCGGGGUUAGAGUUCCGGAAUCCGAGAGAUUCAGGCCUGCAAGCCAAGGUCUGGGGAGAGGAACAGAAGGAAGAGAACUGCCCUGGAGAUCUGAGGCCGCCUCGGUGUAAUCCUCUCAGGCCCUUGGAACUAAAAUCCCAAGGCAGGCCUGACACAUCGCUGCAAAAUUCUAGAGUGGAUCGUCCAACCCUAAAAGUGGGACAACCAGGGAGAAAACCAGCUGGAGCAUUUGCUGCAGUUCUCACUCCACCUUCCAGAAUUCUCCAGGGCGACACUCACCUCCAAAAAUCCCACCUCUUCUUUCCAGCGUGGAAGCCGGUGAGUGACGCCUGGCUAGUAAGGGGUUGUUCAGGUGAAGAGUUUAGAAAGGACCCCCCAAAAGAGACCCCCUCUUAGAGCAAGCCUUCUUCCAGCGUCUGUCAAGAGUAGUAUGUACCUCCCAGCUCACAGUUGGUUUGUGGUCUUCGACAAAUUAAUAUUACUGUUUAUUACCAGGCAUACCCCAAUAAAAUAAAGAGGCAACCAGGCGAUACGGGCUAUCUCACCAGCCGCUGCACCUAUAGGACUUGGAGACGUCACGAGUCACGCAACCGAACCGCGAGCUGUCACGCUCAACUGGGGGGCAGCGGCGGGAGGUUGAUUUCUCUCCGUCUUCGCCUAUCACUCCGGGCUGGGUCUGCACAGCCACAAGUCCCAGACGCCUGGGCCCCGGGAAUAAAUAAAGAAAUAAACAAAUCUAACGCUCUCUGGGGAAAUGGGGGUGGCGGACCUCAGCCACGAAUAGAGCCAAGAUCGAUUUUCUUAGGGAGGGGGGAGGAGGGCUUUGGGCUAAGGGAGGUGGGAGCUCACCUCAACCCAGGGAUUGGAAAGAAAUCAAGUUGGGGUGGUGGGGCAGGGGAGCCGAGGUCUCUUGCAGGAGGUAAGAGUGUUAUUAUUAAAAAAUAUAUUUUUUUUUCCCCAGGAGGAGCACUCAGCAUACGUGAAUUGAGGCGCCUCUCUAGCUGGUUAAGUUUGGGACGCGAUAACUCAGUGUCCGCCAGCGGACUUGCAUAGAAGUAAUCACUGGGUUAUCGCGGAGCGGGGGAAGAAACAGAGACUUUAGGGAGAAGGGAGAGCCCUGCGCAGUGUUUCUUGCAAAGAAAAAGUCCAUUCUGCGAAUCCUCCUCUAGCUAGAUCGGGGAUGCAACCCGUCCCAGCGUGGCCUGGCGGGGGCGGGGUGCGAGUGGGUGGUGAGGUGGGGAUGAAGAAGGGUAAUUUCUGCAGAGAAAAAUCAGUACCAGGUCCUGCAGAGGGACGAGGCGCUCUAUUUUGUUUUGCAAUAACGAUUAUUCUUGUUACUGGUCUCAUCUAUGGGCAUAACGUCUAAGCAGCCCCGCGGCGGAUGCGCACAAGGUUUAGCGCGCAGCUGGAAACGCUCUAAGUACUGUUGCGAAACGUACUGCAUAGACGCCCCCCGCGACGCCGAGAGGAGAGCUAGGCCUACUCUGCACCGAGCCUGCGAGCUCCCGACCUUCCGGAAGGGUAAGUUCCUCGCCAAGGGGUCCCGAGGGAGCCGGACAACGGAAUCUGGACUUGCCCCCUGCUACGGGCUUCGACCCCGGGUUGCGCGCCUGCCCAGCCCCCAGGGCUUCCCGAAGCUUGGCCUAGCUCCUGGCCCAGUCCGUCUGGGGCUGGAGCGGCAACAGAAAGUGCAGGAACGCAAUCGACCAAGCAGCCUCCGGAGCUAAGGUCAGGCCCGCGGGGAUACCAGACAGUGGUUUCCAGCGCCGGACACGGGCGCCCGGGCCAGCCGGGCCGCGGACUCUGCAGCUUCCAGCAAGCAGAGCCCGCGUCCCUCCUCUCGGCCAGGCCUCAGUGACCUUCCCAAGCUUCCCUUUCGUUUCCCAAAUCAUUAAUAAGUAUCUUUUCCCCAGUCCAAGGCCCUUUGGGUACAGCGUUGGUUCCCACAUGCCUAGGAGCGCAACCUGAAAUCCUUCGCCCAAAACCUGGAGAUGGGUUCCUAUUUGACCUCUGGGCAGAGGUGGGCCUGAAACGGAGGCCCGGGCCCCGCCGAGACUGGAAGGGGAAAGCGAAACUCCGAGUGGGGCGAGCUCUUUUCCGUUAGGUUCCUUUCUCCUGCAUCCCCAGCGCGGGCCCCGCAUACACCCCGACCGACUCACAAAGGAUUCCGCAGGCUCAGCUUCCGGACCCGCUGUCCCCGAGGGUCCGGAGGCCGCAGCACGGAUAGAAUAAACUUAAGACCUCAACUAGAGUCGAGAAUCUCCGUUCUUUUCCCGACCAUUAGACAAUAAACUUGAAAGAGAGGCUCUGAUUCGCAACCUCCCUUCCUUAUUUUGAAGGAUUUUCUCGACCUGCCCCCCCCCAGCACGGUUUUCCUCCGAAAUGUAUUUUCCAUAUUUUGCAAAAUUCCUGCCCUUAUUUUAAUAUUGCAAUGGAUAGAACAGCAGAGGUUCCUACUUUGAAAAGUCGAAACAGAAUAAAAGCAAGGGCGACCGCUGUUGAUCUUUUUCCUUUGCUCUUGCCUUCUACUUUUAAGAAAGUCACAUCCCAAACCCCCGUAUUUCUUUCCUCCCCAAAGAAAGCUCACUUAACAAUCCACCGUCUUUCCGUUUCUCUCCCGAUGUGUCCCGCCUGACUGGGAUCUCUAUUGAAGACAAAAAAGUAGGUAGAAGUGCAGAUAGGACUGGGAAAAUUAAUAAGAAUUAAAACAACAGUAUACAUGUUGGUGAAAAUAAACUUUGACCAACUCCUUUUGCAAAAGAAAAGGUCAGACUGAGGGUGGGAAAUUCCCUUGUUUCUCAGGGUGUCACUUUCCCUGCUGCCUAGUUAAGUCUGGCUCUAUUAUAUUUUUUUCAAGGACUGCAGUGUCUUCCAUCCCAAUGUUGUAUUCAGUGCCUGGUUUCCUCCCUUCUGACCGGAAGUAUCUGGGAAUACUGGCUGUUAUUAUUAUUUCAAUAUCCAAUACGCUUCAGUAUGUCCUACCAAGAAUUAGUAUUUCGCCUUACUUUACCAAUUAGGCAUGUUUGAUGCUGUUUCCUGUGCUUUGGAAAUAUCCCUCCCCACUCCCCCAAAUUGGGGGAGUGAUUCCCCCACAACCACCACCACCACUGCAGUCAAGUUAAUGAAAUAAGAAAUGGCUGUGGGAUCAUCGUUCUAACGGUUCAGCCGAAAUAGCAUCGCCAGAGAUUUGCAAGCUCCCAAAGAACAGAAGGCAGUACAGUGUUUGGGGUGCCAAGGAGCCCCUGUUCUUGCUCCCUCCACCUUAGAAGUCCCUGGUGAAGGACAAGGCUGAGGGUCUUGAGCUGAGAAAACCAGGAGUCCCCUCCUGUCCCCAUAGAUGGACACUGAGCCUGAGAACUCCAACCAUACCUGCAGCCCAGGACCUGCAGAAAGGCCUCCUCGUUUAGUCACUGUGUCUGCAGGGUCAGAAUGUCCCCACAGCCCCCAAAGAAGUGGGGGAUGGGGAAUACUACAUUCCAGGGCUCUGACCCCGUAAAGAUAGAGAAUUUAGGCUAAUAUCUCCAGGUCUGGGAUGCUGGCGGGGGGCCUGUCUGGAAACCCCUCUCUCAACUGGAAGAUACGAUGGAAACCUGGGAGCCCACUUGCUCUCUGGGGUUCUGGAAAGACAAAUUUUCUUUGGCAAAGGGAACGGUGUCGCGCUGUCGACACGGCAGACUAUUUUUCUUGUUUCCUCACAGGGGUGGGGGGAGAGAAAAGAAAGCAAGAAAGAAAGGGAAAUUAAAUCCACACGUGUUAAGCUUGCUCAAAGGGCCAAAUUCAAAACCAGAGACAAAACUCCGACUUCUCCAGUUCUGGCUGCCCUAGGGCCUCUUUCGAGCCAGCCCGGGCCUCACAGAGCACGGAGGUGUCCCCACCGGGGAGAAUUCGAGCUGAGGUUGCAUAAAGCGUUUUAUUUAAGAAGGAAGAGACAUGGUCUCUCUCUCGGUAUACCUGCAGAGUGGCAGAACGCAGAGCAGCAAAGAAAACAAAGGAGAUGGCAACUGUGAGAAUAAUGACCCCCUUUAAGAAAGCUUAGCUUGAUGCCUUCUCAUCAAGCCAGUGAUUCCAGUAACAUUCAUCCUAUGGCCAAAAUGAACCAGGCCAGUCAUUUUGGAAAUCCCUAAGGUCUGAUCAGGCUUCGGGCCUACCCGUUUUUUAAAGAACCUUAAAGGCUGUUUUAUUGCCUCUGGAAUAGCCAGCUUAAUCUGCAGGGCUAAACCUCACCUCCCUUCCUCUUCUCUCUCGGGGAGAAACUUGCCAGAAGAGAGCUCUGUACCCGGUGCAGGGGUUGAGGGGGUGGAGGAUGGAGGAGGCCACCCCGCCUGGAGCUGCGAGUGAAAACUCUAGUAAUGACCUUGAGGAGGUGAAGGGAGGCCGGUGGGGGUGCGGAUUGACAGGGCGGCCAAACCCCAAACUGGAAGGAUCCGUCACCAAAAGGAUUGCUUGGUUGAGACCUCUAAUUUUUCUUCCCUUUCAGCUUGGGCCACGAGCACGGAGCACCGAAGCAGGGUUUCUGGCCUUUGGGGGCAGCCCUGGCCGAAAGGUCCAGAAGCGAGGACCCCCAAACGCCUCGAUCCCCCCGCGCAAUCACACCCAGAAAGCUCUAGGGGUGAAAUUGACAGAGGCCGGCCCUGGGGGGGCAACUGACAGUGGUUCCUGGUGGAAAAGUUCCGGGCAAUUGUUUCCGCCAGGGCCCUGUUUUCCUGGUCGCCAUGGCAACCCUGGAGUCCCCACGAACGUCCUCCACAAUCGGGCGCUUGGAGGACAAUCGCCGCGCACUUUUGCCGCGCUCCUUGAGGCCUGCAAGGCGCUUCCGCCCUCCGCUCUGGGUUUUCCGGAGCCUCCCUAGUGAGUUCAGCACCGCAGGGAUUGAAAAACUCUCCUCCUUUUUUAAACAGGGGAGAAAAUCGCGAUUUAGGAGAAUCACUGCCAGGUAGGUUUGGGUCUCCAGCAAAAGCUCACGCUUUGAGUUGAAAGCGAUGCCCUCAGAGACGCGCGCGCGGGCAGCCGGUAGAAUACUUUUCACCCAAACCCUGAUCGCGAACGUCUCAGCCAGGGACCCGGAACUCACGGAGUCUCUUCACUUAAGCCGAUCACCCCCACGGGUACCCGAGGUUCCCCGCGUGGGUCUGGGCAACCUCGUCGCCUGCCUGGAAGAACGUCUCCUAAAUGGGAGGAGGAAAGUCGGAAACUAAAAUUCAUGUCUGCAGGGUCUUACAGAAAAAAAACAAUAAAUUAUACUCCUUUUCCUGCAAGGGAGAAAA